rnacentral:rRNA from 1 species
AUGACACUCCAGGCUGCUGCAGGCCAGUUCACGGAGACAGAAGCUCCAAGCCAACACGUCAUUCAGCAACCCGCCGCUUCAAGCCAGCUCGCCGAGGAGUGGCGAGUUGCUCCAGGCCAGCACGCGGGGGAGCAAGACAGCACAUGCAUCAUGGCUGCCAUGGACGACACCGUGUCGUACCGCUCCUCCUGUGCCUGCGACUGUGUCAUCCGACGUCAACAUUCGCGUAACCACACCCUGCCGGCGGAGAAAGAAGUUGGCUUCGCGGAGAUCGAUGAAGAGGUGGUUAGCACGUCCGCGCCCACCGCCAUCAUCGAGGAGAAGUACAACACGGGAGGCCGCCGCCACUUGGGUCCAAUGAAGGCCGCCACCGAGGCGACGCCGCGCGUACACAGCUGGUGUCUUGCCCAUCGCAGGCCACCGUCAUCCCAUUCCCCUCCGGCUGAAGCACGUCCCAGCGGUGCCACUCCGAUGAAAAGUGCUGCCGAACAUGGAGAAGCGAGCCGCCCUUUGCGCUAA